rnacentral:rRNA from 1 species
AGUGAACGCUGGCGGUAGGCCUAACACAUGCAAGUCGAACGGCAGCACAGGAGAGCUUGCUCUCUGGGUGGCGAGCGGCGGACGGGUGAGGAAUACAUCGGAAUCUGCCCAGUCGUGGGGGAUAACGUAGGGAAACUUACGCUAAUACCGCAUACGACCUUCGGGUGAAAGAGGGGGAUCGCAAGACCUCUCGCGAUUGGAUGAGCCGAUGUCGGAUUAGCUAGUUGGCGGGGUAAUGGCCCACCAAGGCGACGAUCCGUAGCUGGUCUGAGAGGAUGAUCAGCCACACUGGAACUGAGACACGGUCCAGACUCCUACGGGAGGCAGCAGUGGGGAAUAUUGGACAAUGGGCGCAAGCCUGAUCCAGCCAUACCGCGUGGGUGAAGAAGGCCUUCGGGUUGUAAAGCCCUUUUGUUGGGAAAGAAAUCUUUCAGGCUAAUACCCUGGGAGGAUGACGGUACCCAAAGAAUAAGCACCGGCUAACUUCGUG